CAGCGUUUUAUUUUUAAUUUCUAGGUACUCAUAAGCUUUUCGUUUGACUAUUUCUCUCAGAAGAUAGGUAGUUGUCCUUCAGAAGAUGCGUAGUCGUUUCUGUAUCUUUCGAUUGAAAUCGCUCAAUCCAGUCUCCGUCAGUUCUAUCACCCAGUUACAGUUAUCUUCCUAUUUGAAGGCAGAAAUAGAGAUUUAAUUAACAGCGCCACUGAUGAAAGCUGAAGUAGAUGGACAUGAAACCUUAUUUGUAAUGUGAUGUUCAUUAAAAUGCUGCUGAUUGGUGAAUAAAUUUUAAAACAAUAUGAAAA
rnacentral:lncRNA from 1 species